rnacentral:misc_RNA from 1 species
AACGCAUCUUGCGCUCCUUGGUAUUCCGAGGAGCAUGCCUGUUUGAGUGUCGCGAACGUGCCUCGGGCCCGCCCCUUUUCUAGAGGGGAGGGCUCGGAUAGUGGACGCUUUGCCGCGUCGCGCGGCUCGUCUUGAAAUGAAUUAGAGUCGGGUCCCUUGGCGAUUAGGGUCGGAGGGUAAUGGUGUGAUAAGUUCUCGCCGCGACGCCCUUCCGACUCCGACCCAAAGGCUCGCUUCGAGUCCUACAGUCGGACGGUCCCGCUAGGGGCACGGUACCAUUAACGUUUUGACCUCAAAUCAGGUAGGACUACCCGCUGAACUUAA